rfam:Chlorocebus sabaeus isolate 1994-021 chromosome 6, whole genome shotgun sequence.
GGGAAACGGGAUGAGGGGCCGACCCGAGGCCCCUCUAAACAAUGGGGCA